rnacentral:rRNA from 1 species
GCUCCAAUAGCGUAUAUUAUCUUUGCUGCAGUUAAAAAGCUCGUAGUUGGAUUGGGCGACCUGGUCCGGUCCGCCGCAAGGUGUGUUACUGGACGAGGUUGCUUCUUCUGGAGAACUGGUGUGCUCUUCACUGAGUGUGCCAGGGAUCCAGGACUUUUUACUGUGAAUAAAUUGGAGUGUUUAAAGCAGGCCUAUGCUUG